rnacentral:rRNA from 1 species
AGACAACUUUUGACGGUGGAUCUCUUGGCUCACGCAUCGAUGAAGAACCGCAGCCAGCUGCGAUAAGUAGUGUGAAUUGCAGAAUUCAGUGAAUCAUCGAAUCUUUGAACGCAAAUGGCGCUCUUGGGUUCUCCCAGGAGCAUGUCUGUCUGAGUGUCG